rnacentral:rRNA from 1 species
UAAGGAAUAUUGGUCAAUGGACGCAAGUCUGAACCAGCCAUGCCGCGUGAAGGAUUAAGGUCCUCUAGAUUGUAAACUUCUUUUAUCUGGGACGAAAAAAGGCGAUUCUUCGUCACUUGACGGUACCAGAUGAAUAAGCACCGGCUAACUCCGUGCCAGCAGCCGCGGUAAUACGGAGGGUGCAAGCGUUAUCCGGAUUCACUGGGUUUAAAGGGUGCGUAGGCGGGCAGGUAAGUCAGUGGUGAAAUCCUGGAGCUUAACUCCAGAACUGCCAUUGAUACUAUCUGUCUUGAAUAUUGUGGAGGUAAGCGGAAUAUGUCAUGUAGCGGUGAAAUGCUUAGAUAUGACAUAGAACACCUAUUGCGAAGGCAGCUUACUACGCAUAUAUUGACGCUGAGGCACGAAAGCGUGGGGAUCAAACAGGAUUAGAUACCCUGGUAGCCCACGCCCUAAACGAUGGAUACUCGACAUACGCGAUACACUGUGUGUGUCUGAGCGAAAAGCAUUAAGUAUCCCCACCUGGGGAAGUACGACCGCAAGGUUGAAACUCAAAUGAAUUGACGGGGUCAUAGCUGUUUCCUG